GACGAACGCUGGCGGCGUGCUUAACACAUGCAAGUCGAGCGGUAAGGCCCUUUCGGGGGUACACGAGCGGCGAACGGGUGAGUAACACGUGGGUGACCUGCCCUCAGCUCUGGGAUAAGCCUGGGAAACCGGGCCUAAUACUGGAUAUGACUCCAUGACGCAUGUUGUGGGGUGGAAAGCCUUGUGCGGCUGAGGAUGGGCCCGCGGCCUAUCAGCUUGUUGGUGGGGUGAUGGCCUACCAAGGCGACGACGGGUAGCCGGCCUGAGAGGGCGACCGGCCACACUGGGACUGAGACACGGCCCAGACUCCUACGGGAGGCAGCAGUGGGGAAUCUUGCGCAAUGGGCGAAAGCCUGACGCAGCGACGCCGCGUGAGGGAUGACGGCCU
rnacentral:rRNA from 1 species